CCCGCCUCCUUUUGUGAUGGUCACACCCCUCUUCAUGACACCCCGCCCCCCAUAGUAGCCCCACCUGUCUUCCCCACCCCGGCUCCUUCUGCACCCUGCCCCUUAUCAUGGCUUAUUCCUCCGCCUUGACCCCACUCCUCUUCGUGAUCUACCCUCCAUGUUGGCCCCGCCCCCUUCCCGGGCCCCACUCCAGCUCUGCCCACCUGCUGUGGUCCCCUUCCCCUCCGUGACCACAUCCCUCUGCUCCGUCCCCGCCUGAGCUCCUCCAGGAUCUGCUGCUCAGGUGGGGAGGAAGCCACCUUCAGGUGCAGUGGCCCCAUGGCCUCCUUGGGAGGCUCCCUUUGGGGCAGGGCUGUUCUGGGGGAGAGGGCCCUAGGGAGGGUGGGAGACAUUGGACCUCCUGCAGGCUGAGAAAUGAGGCUGUCUGCUGGGAUACCAUGUCCUGGGGGAUGUGUGACCUCCUUUGUGAGCAGGGAGGGGGUCAGGUGAGGGGUCCCUCCGGGGUCCGGUGUCUGGCUGUGUGGGUGUGUGGUUUCCUUCUGCCCGAGGAGGGCCUUCCGCCCUGUCCCCCCCAGCUCGUGAGGUCUGCCCUCUCCAUCCUGAGCUGGGGGGUCCCACAGCAGCCUCAGGCUGCCGAGUGCUGGGCACUCAUCACCACUUCCCAUGAGGGGCUCCCGGGUGGGGGGGGGUCUCAGGCUCUGCUGGGGUCUGCCCCUGAACCCCUCUUCUGUCGGCCCUCCUGUCAGACAGAGUCGCCCUACCUGAAUGGGGCUGCAAGGAGAGUGAGCAUCCCCUCCGCCAACCUGGGCUGCACGGGGCACUGGCCCCCCAGACCGCCUGGGCUCUGAGAGGGUCCCCGGGGCUGCGGGCCUGGUGUGUGCUUCUCAGAGGCCUGAGUGACGUCCGCAGAGUUGGGGCCAAGUCUUGCCUGCCUGUGCAGCACCGAGCCACGGGCACGGGAUGACAGGCUGCCCCCACGCCGGGCCUGCUGCCCUCCACUGCUUGCAGGAGCUCACGGACUCCCGCAUCGCCGGCAGCGUGUGCAGACUGCGCUUGCCGGGGUUACAGCCCUCUCAGGCCUGCUCUGCUGCCCCUUCUCUGCACCACCCAGCCCUGGCCUGGGACCCCUCCCUGUGGACCCACCCUCCUGCUCCGCCCCCGAGACGCCCCUCUGUCCUGAAACCAGUCCUCCCUGGUUCUCGUGCCUUCCACCAGACUCUGGCACAUUUGCAGCGCCUGAGCCCCUCUGUCUUUCCUCUGUUGCCUGGCCUGCCCCAAGGCCCUCAGAGUGCGUGGGGCUCUCUCCCCAAUCUGGCCAGAGUGCAGUGUCCAGUAGCCAGCCAGUGAGAGCCCCUGGGGGAGGGAGGAGGUUUCCGGGGAGCAGGCAGCCUCGCACAGCCCGGCCAGCCUUGCCAUGGGGCCACCCCGCGGGUUUGCCUUGGCCGCUGCCCCUUCAGGGUCCCGGGUGCUGGACGGGGCCAGGCCUUCGGCAGUCACCUGUCCCGUGGUCCCUGCAGGGGUGAGGCUGGGUGCAUGUGUGUCCGAGGGACAGUGGCUGGCCCAGAGCAGCAUGAAGGAGGGCACUGCAGAGUCGCUGCCCCACCUGCUGCUGGCCGGGCCCCGCCACCUGUUUCCUCCGCAGACCUUCGUGAAUGACGUGCGCAUCCCGGACCAGAAGUACGUCACGCUGAAGCUCCAUGACGUCAUCCGAUUCGGCUACGAUUCCAACAUGUACGUGCUGGAGCGCGUGCAGCACCGGGUCCCCGAGGAGGCGCUCAGGCACGAGAAGUAUACCAGCCAGCUGCAGGUGAGCGUCAAGGGCCCGGCCCCCAGGAAGGGUGAAGCGCUGCCCCAGCACACCCCUUACUGCGAGUCCUUGGGUCCCAGGCCGGAGAGGGGGGACCGGAGGCCAGGGGCAGAGACGGCGGCCUACCGCACACCCCUGUAUGGGCAGCCCUCCUGGUGGGGGGAGGACGACAGCGGCAGCUCCCCCGAGGACCGGCGCCAGGAGGAGCCCUACGCAGAGCGGCCCAAGGAGCCGGCCCAGCCGGACGGGGAGCUCCCAGGGACGAUUGGCUUCCGGGCGGCGGCGGAGCCUCAGGGCUGCUCGUUCAGGCGGGAGCCCAGUUACUUUGAGAUCCCCACAAAGGAGGCCCCGCCGCCGCCGCCCCCGCCGCGGCCCCCUGCGGCGCCGGCCCACGAGGCACCCGCCACGGCCCCCAUGGUGCAGAGCCACGCCUCCUUCACCAUCGAGUUCGACAACUGCAGCCCCGGCAAGGUGAAGAUCAAGGACCACGUCACCAAGUUCUCGCUGCGCCAGAGACGGCCCCCAGACAAGGAGGCCACACCUGUGGAGGCCGUGUCUGCUGAGACCAAGGUGGCCGACUGGCUGGUGCAGAGCGACCCGAGCCUGCUGUGCCGGGCGGGCCCUGGGGAUGACCGCCACAGCACCAAGAGCGACCUGCCCAUCCACACCCGCACCCUGAAGGGCCACAAGCAUGAGGACGGCACGCAGAGCGACUCGGAGGACCCCGCGGCCAAGGCAGCGGUGGCGACGGCCGGGGUCCCUGCGGAGGGCAGCGGGACGCAGGCGCGGCUGCACAGACAGAUGAAGCGGGACCCCCAGGAGCUGCUGCAUAGCCAGCAGGCCUUUGUCAUCGAGUUCUUCGACCAGGACACGCCCCGCAAGAAGCGCUCCCAGUCCUUCACGCACGCCCCUCCCGGGGACCCCAAGGCCGACAAGCGCCGAGGCCCCGGGCCGGCGGACAGAGACCGCUCAGGCGUCCCUGCUUCGGCGCGGGGGGCAGGCGGCAGCUCGGGGCCGCAGCGGGCCAGCUCGCUCAAGCGGGAGAGGACAGAGGAGCGCCUGGGGGGCCCCUCGCCCACCUCCCGGGGCUCUGUGCGACCCUUUGGCAGCGUGGGGCGCCGCUCCCGUCUGGCCCAGGACUUCAUGGCCCAGUGCCCGCGGGAGGGCUCCCCGGCCACCCGGCCCGGCCCUGACAAGGCAUCCCCAGCGUCACCGGCCCCCGAGACACCCCGUGGGGCCAGCCCCGUGGCCCCUGCAACCCCACCACCGCCCCCUGCCGACCCCCAGCUGAGCAAGGCUCGCAAACAGGAUGAGGACGACAGCCUGAGCGAUGCGGGGACCUACACCAUCGAGACAGAGGGGCAGGACCCGGAGGUGGAGGAGGCCCGCCAGAUGAUCGACCAGGUCUUUGGGGUACUUGAGUCUCCUGAGCUUUCCAGGGUAUCCUCGGCCACCUUCCGUCCGGUCAUCAGAGGGGACAGAGACGAGGCCAGUGACGGGGUUGCCCAGCGAAUGGCGCUCCUGCAGGAGUUUGCCUCCCGGUCGGUGGGCAUAGCCCCCCAAGGGGAGCUCCAGGGCCUCCCGGUGCCGGGCUCCCCUGGGGGUCAGAAAUGGGUGUCCCGCUGGGCCAGCCUGGCCGACAGCUACUCAGACCCAGGCCUGGCAGGGGAGAGCCCUGGGCACAGAGCGGGGGAGCUGGAGGGGACCCUGCCUGUGCGCCAGCGACGGCGACUCCCACAGCUGCCCAGUGACCGCGCAGACAGCCCUGGGGGCCUCGAGGCCACCAAGAGGAGCGGCCCUGGGCCUCCGGAGCCGGGCAGUGAGCAGGCCGGCUGCCUCUUGGGCCAGGAGGACUUGGAGCCUGACAGUCUCAGUGACGCCAGUGGGUCGGACGGUGGGCGGGGCUCCGAGCUGGGUGGGGGCCCGCAGGAGGAGAGGCGCAGGAGCCCCCAGGAGGGACCAGCAUGGACGAAGGGCCGGCGCUCGCCUAGGGCCCCUGGAGAGCCAGCCCCCGCCUCUUUCUUCAUUGGGGACCAGAACGUGGAGACAGCCUUCCCCAGGAAGCCAUCAGUGGCUGCAGGGGAGGUGGACGGCCCAGGGCGGGUGGCGAGGGACGGCGUCUCCGUCAGCUCCAGCGGGAGGAUGGUUAUCCAGCUGCGGACAGAACGGUCCCCAGAGCCCGAGAGCCCUGCCCCGGCCUUGGUGCGACAGGAUAGCUUCAGCAAGGAGCCGGCUGGUGGCCCCCCGGCGCCCGGCCAGCUUCCACGCAUCUCCAGCCACCCCCUCCUGCAGGACCUGGCUGCCGCCCGGGCCUCACGCAUGGACCUGCACCCCCAGGACACCCACCUGAUCCUGAAGGAGACAGAGACAGCCCUGGCAGCCCUGGAGGCCCGGCUGCUCUCCAAGUCCACGGAGGAGGCAGAGGGCCCGAUGGGCAGCACCCCCGGGCCGCCAGACGACUCCCUGUCCGGGGACUCUGACGUGGACACAGGGAGCACAGUGAGCCUGCUCAGUGGUAAGAACGGGCCCAGCCCAACCAGUCCCCAGCCCGCGGGGCCACAGAAGGAGAAGCCACUGUGCCCACCAGCAGCACAGGACCCGGGGAGCGUCUCCUCGAACAGCGCCCGCGAGCGGCUCUCGGACAAGCAUCGUCGCACUCCGGGCCCCACGGACGUGGGCCGUGCAGAGCUGGGGAGGCGCCUGGCUGCACGGCAUGGCACCGGGGCCCGGGCAUCCGCGGACUGGCCUGACGAAGAGCGAGGCUCCGGCCUGGCCCACCCGCCUGGCGCAGACACGGUCACCUCUGACCGCGAGACCCCCGUGGCCCCUGGGGCGGGGCGGCCAGGGCCUCGCCGGACACCGGCACCUGCAGCGCCAUCCCCGGCUCCACGGGAAGAGCAGGGCCGUGGCUCCGCCCAGAAGGUGCAGCAGGUGCUGACCCGCUCCAACAGCCUGUCCACCCCUCGGCCCACACGGGCCUCCCGGCUGAGGCGGGCCCGGCUGGGGGAUGCCUCGGACACGGAGGCUGCCGAUGGCGAACGGGGGCCCCCGGCCAACCCUGAGCCGGCGGGGCGGCCAGCCCCCGAGCAGGCCAAGAAGCUGUCGCGCCUGGACAUCCUGGCCAUGCCCCGGAAGCGGGCGGGCUCCUUCACCGGGCCCAGCGACUCCGAGGCGGCCCCCGCCCGCGCCGGCUUCUCUGGCCGCAGCGUCGAUUUGUACUGCACUGGCCGUAAACCCGUCGUGGCCGAGGCUCGGGCCGCCGCCGCCAGGAAGGCUGCCAAUACCACCACGGCCCCCCGCCAGCCCUUUAGCAGGGCCCGCCCGGGCAGUGCCCGAUACUCCUCACCCAGCACGCGUCGCCGGCAGCAGGGCUCGGAUUGCACGUCCACAUCCGAGGAGGAGUACGGCUCCCACCACGGCUCCCCCACACACACACAGUCCCAUGCCUCAACAGCCACGCAGACCCCGCGGUCUGGCAGCUCCAACCGGACUCGCUCCCGGGCCCCCAUCCCCCGGGACACAGAUGACGAGGAAGAAGAUCCUGAUCCCUACGGCUUUAUUGUGCAGACGGCAGAGAUCGCUGAGAUUGCCAGGCUGAGCCAGACACUAGUGAAGGAUGUGGCCAUCCUGGCCCGGGAGAUCCACGACGUGGCUGGGGACGGCGACUCGCUGGGCUCGCCGGGACCCGCCCGCAGCCCCUCCCUCAGCAACGUGCCCAGCACCCCUGCUUCAACCAUCUCCGCCCGUGAGGAGCUGGUGCAGCGCAUCCCCGAGGCCAGCCUCAACUUCCAGAAGGUGCCCCCUGGCUCCCUGAGCUCUCGAGACUUGGACCAGAACAUGAACGACCGCUGUGAGGACCCCCUCGCCAGCAAGAUGCGGCCUCGGAGCCGCGAGGAGGUGAUCUUUGACAACCUGAUGCUGAACCCCGUGUCCCAGCUGUCCCACGCCAUCCGGGAGAACACGGAGCACCUCGCCGAGAAGAUGAAGAUCCUCUUUCAGAACACAGGGCGUGCCUGGGAGGAGGUGGAAGCCAGAAUCAACUCGGAGAACGAGGUGCCCAUCCUGAAGACAUCCAACAAGGAGAUCAGCUCCAUCCUGAAAGAACUGAGGCGCGUGCAGAAGCAACUGGAAGUCAUCAACGCCAUCGUGGACCCCAGCGGGAACCUGGACCUGCUGACCGGGAACCGGGGCUCCACGGGCUCGGCCCAGCUGGGGAAAGGCCGGCCGGCUGCCCAGAGCCCAUCCUCGCCCCCCUCGGCCCUGCCUCUGAGGAGCUUCCCACAGCGGGUGAACUGCGGGUCCCCGGGCCUCCCGGACCCUGCCUUCCUGCCCGACUUCCUCCCCGAUGCCGAGAGGUUCCUGAUCUAGGCGGCCGGGGCCGGGGCGGCCUCCGCGUGCCCUGGGUCCAGCACCUCCGGCACCCCUUGUCUGCCGCCACGGCCCUUCCCGGCUGCGGACCGUUCGCCACAGACCCCCAUGUGCCAUAACCCUGUGGGCAGGUGCCUCUGUGCCCACACCCCUCCCUAGCUCCCAGCCGGCGCCCCAGCUGGACGGUCCAGCCCCUGUGGCCAACCCCGCUGGCCUCCUGGCCCAGCUCCUGCUGUGGCCUCCGCCAAGGGCUGGCGUCACAGCUGACGUGGAGUCGCGUGCGUGGGUCCUGUGCCCCCCCCGUGAUGUUUACGUAUGUGUGUGAGUGGUGGGGGGCUCCCUGCCGGGACCCCGCCCCUCGAGCCUGCUGUGUCCACACGGAGGCGGCGCUGGGCCCCUCCGGCCUCCUGCAUGCCCCACACAGUUGCCCACAGCCUGUCCCCUGGAAACGAACAGUGGCCAUUCUCAUGCACCCACCCUCAGUGAUUGCCGUACACGUUUUUUUAUUCACAAAUUCCUGUUCCUCCCCCUUCCAGCCUUCGACUUGGGACCGGUAACUUAUUUGUCUGGCUUCUUGGAGGUACUUCUGUAUGUGUGUCCUCAGGUGGUCUCAUGGAUGUCUUUCAGAAAACGGUUAUUUUAUAUGAGUUGUCAUGGAAUUUGUUCUAAUAAAUCAUUCUACCA